rnacentral:sRNA from 1 species
GGUGAGUUUGUCAUGAAACAUAAUGUAGAUUUCUUUAUACACUACACCAUGUGUAUUCCUCUUGAAGUUGUGCCCUUUACCUCAAAGGCAAACUUCCCCAAAAGAGGAGGACCAUUCUUUGGUUAAGGAUGUAUGAGUAGCUGUACUAUCCAGCUGGAACCUUCAUUAUAUUAUUUUGCCUUGCACUCCCUGGGAAGUAGCCUCUCAUACUGAGAUUAGCAUGUAGGAUAUUU